rnacentral:rRNA from 1 species
CUACGGGAGGCAGCAGUGGGGAAUAUUGCACAAUGGGCGCAAGCCUGAUGCAGCCAUGCCGCGUGUAUGAAGAAGGCCUUCGGGUUGUAAAGUACUUUCAGCGUGGAGGAAGGGAGUAAAGUUAAUACCUUUGCUCAUUGACGUUACCCGCAGAAGAAGCACCGGCUAACUCCGUGCCAGCAGCCGCGGGUAAUACGGAGGGUGCAAGCGUUAAUCGGAAUUACUGGGCGUAAAGCGCACGCAGGCGGUUUGUUAAGUCAGAUGUGAAAUCCCCGGGCUCAACCUGGGAACUGCAUCUGAUACUGGCAAGCUUGAGUCUCGUAGAGGGGGGUAGAAUUCCAGGUGUAGCGGUGAAAUGCGUAGAGAUCUGGAGGAAUACCGGUGGCGAAGGCGGCCCCCUGGACGAAGACUGACGCUCAGGUGCGAAAGCGUGGGGAGCAAACAGGAUUAGAUACCCCCGUAGUC